GCGGUUGGCUGUGGGGGCUGUCGCGGGGAGCCGUGUAAAGCGGGGGGGCGGAGCGCCAGUGGGAACGGGGCCCCAGUGAGUGACCCGCUUUCGGGGUGCACGGAUCCUGCUGGCUCCUUCCUCUUCAAAUCGGCCAUUUUAAAGGGCGAAAGUAUAUAAAGAGAUUGUGGCAUGAAAGGAGAUUUGAUCCUGAAAAUGAGACACUGGGGGGGCAGAUGUGAAUACUGCAGACACAGGAGUUUUCUCCUAGAGCUGAGAAUCAAAAGAUAACAUGGUCCCAGAAGUCUGCAUCCUAGACAUGAGUUGCUCUUGAGGAAGGACGACAGCACUAAUUUCCUUUGAAAUGGUGUAAUGUAAAUGCUGUUGAAGCUGGCAGUGAGGAAAAUACCAACCUUCCUAAGGAUUAAACAGACGAGCAUGGACACCUCAGUUGAGCUCAACGUUACUUUAUCAGAGCCACAAUCAGAAGUAUCAAACCAGAUGUGCGUGAGGAGCAGUAUGAUGUACCUUCCUGGGCUACAGAAGUAUUGCAAUGUCUAGCACUAUAUUUUGAGGGUGGCAUUUAUUUGAAGUUCUUAUUCUAAUAUGCUGGGGUACUUUGUUUGCAGAUGAUGCCUGUAAGUUUGUGUUUUCUAACACGCCUGGCAGCACCAAAAGAAACCAUUUGGGGUCUCUGCACUUGAAGUUUGCUAGAUAUAUCUUCAGCCUCUGCCAUGCACUGGCUCAAAGACGCUGCAAGCACUACAGACAGUGAAUGUGAAUAUAAUAUGCGAUGAUGUAAAUAUAUUCUUUGCAACUCUAAAUGUUCUCUGUAACCUGUUUAGCCAAGGUGCAAUAAAGAAUAAAUAGCUAUUCUGAUCUUCA